CAAAGGCUCUUUUAAGAGCCACCCACUUUUUCAAUAAAAGGGCUG
rfam:Cathartes aura contig102389, whole genome shotgun sequence.